rnacentral:rRNA from 1 species
UACGUAGGUGGCAAGCGUUGUCCGGAAUUAUUGGGCGUAAAGCGCGCGCAGGCGGUCCUUUAAGUCUGAUGUGAAAGCCCCGGGCUCAACCUGGGAACCGCAUUUCGAACUGGCAAACUAGAGUCUUGUAGAGGGGGGUAGAAUUCCAGGUGUAGCAGUGAAAUGCGUAGAGAUCAGGAGGAACACCGAUGGCGAAGGCAGCCCCCUGGGCCUGUACUGACGCUCAUGCACGAAAGCGUGGGGAGCAAACAGG